GCACCGCUGGGUGAAUAUAUUUAUUGGAGGGUAACAGCAGGGACUCAUGGAGCUGAGCCGGUAAUCUCCAGGUCUCGGGGCUGCACCUCCAUCCGCAUGCCGUGGGAUCUGCAUUCUGCAGCACAGUACGGGCGGGGCGCAGGGAGAAGGCAGCACUUAUGGCCGAAACAGCAGCUCCAUUAAGGAUGGCCGUGCUCACACUGCUGCGUGUCGGACUGACUGCUGAAGACGCAGCUGGUAGGAGGAGCGCAGAUCCUCCCACGGUCCCCGAUGAAGCACUGAGAUGCACAUCUGCGAGGAGGUGAAGGGGGAAAGGGAGCGGCGAGGCUGGGAGCGUGAGUGCCGGCCCGGGGAGAGAGGGAGAGGACUGCAUUUUUGCCCAGUGAAGUCACCAAGUCUGCGGCAACUGGAGUCCAGCACUGUCUGCACAGCUGUCUCUGCACGUCCAUGCCGGGCUGCGUUUGCGUCUGCACGUCUGCGUGUGCGUCUGCACGUCUGCGUGUGCGUCUGCAUGUCUGCGCGUGUCACUGUGUGUGAAUUUUAAUACCAGGGAGUGGGUCUGUGACUGAAUGGAAUGCAUGUGUGUUUGGUUGUGUGAGAGCAUGCAUGUGCAAGUGUGUGUGUGUAUGUGUCAGCUCCGGUUUUUGUGUUUAUGUAAGUGUGUGACUGAAUGUUUAUGUGUGUGUGUGUGUGUUGCGGGGGGGGGGGGGGGGGGUGCAACUACAGGGGUUAGAGUGAGAAAGAGGUGGAGGAACUGAAGGUGAUUGAAAAAAGGGCAAGAAGGUCUACAAAAGCAGGGGAGAGAUGGAGGGUGGAGAGACAGAUAGACGGAGGACAAGAAAACUUCACCUUUAUCUUUCCUGGCUUUCAUUUCUAAAGAUAAAUGUCUUCCGUAAAAAAGAAAAUGAUAACAACAGAAAUAACAACACCAACAAACAAUUUAACAAUAAAUUAUAGAUCAUAAUAUCUGAACCUGUGUAAUUAAAAUGAAGAAUGAUUUUCUCUGGAGCUACAGAGCACAGAGCAUGCUCAACACCCCAUGCUUUUUCAAAAGCACAUUUUUUCCGCACCUUAUGAAAAGUAGAGCCAGCAUGUUCUCCAGAUCCACUCUGUUCUCUAAACAUUUCCACGACUUUCCUUCCCCCUCAUGCAUCUAUUUUUAUGUACGAUCGUCAUUUUCGCUCAGCCAAACAAAACCUCAGUCUCCCGAAAGAGGUCUGCGUUUUCUCUUCUGUAAGGUACGCAAUGAACCCACCGGAAGCGCCGAUUAGCUACCAAAUAAAGAAAAUCCAACCUUGUGGACGGAGGGCGAUUUAAAAAAAGGAUGGGGAAGCGCAGAGGGACAGAGAAGGAGAGUAAAGGAGAGGCGCAGCAAGAAUGAAAGAAGACGAUAAAUGUAAAGAGCCAGGGAGGGAGAGGAUGGGAAAGGAGGAGAGAUUAAGGCAAAGGUAAUUAGCAAGAGAGAAAGAUGUCACACAAGGCUUUUAUUUGAAAGACAAGUGCAAUUUACCUAGUCAUCCUAAAACAAAUAUGAAUGUGUGUCUGUAUCUAUCUUACUCUGCUUCCUGAUAGAGUAAACAUUUGUAUAUGGAAGCUUACAGUCAUUUUACUCUUGUUUCCUUGCUUAUAUAUUCUGCAAGUUGCAUGUACUUUUAUCGACCCCCCCCUUGCAUAAGCGGCUCGGAAAAUCGAUGGAGGGACAGUCUGUUUCUCGCACGUUAUUCCUGGAGCUGACGGCGGCCAUCUGGAAAGGAGCGAUAGCUGAGCGGAGAAGUCAGGCACAAAGUAGCGGGCGGUGGGCGAGGCCGCUGCGGACCGGGUCGGGUCCUCUGUGAGUAAAGAUCACUGACAGCAGGCUUUCUGUUCCAGUGCUGCCCGCCAGCUUGUGCAGGCAGGGCCUUACAUUUUCACUUUCCCACCUGUGUGUGUGUUGUUUUUUUUUUUUUUUGUAAGCCGGACAGUCCAAUUAGGGAUCUCAAAGCGUCCAAAGUCUCAAAGUCUUGGCAGUGGUGCCUUUGUGUCUCUGUUUUGUAAAGUCGCUUGUUUGUAGGGACGCUACGUUUCACCUUGGGGAACUUGCCAUCGUCUGUGCCUCAUAUGCAGGCGAGAUUUCCCCACUUUGCAGACACCGGCACUUCCCUGACGGGAUUAAGGUGACCCCUGCACCGCCCUGACUUCAGUUCCCAGCAUGCACUGCCUUAAUAUCCCACUGCCAUCAGAGAGGAGGCGGGUCCUUUUGAUUGGUUCCUUUUAAAAAAGUGAAAUUAAUAAAAAAAAUGUUUUAAAUUUGCCAUGGCUCGAUUAAGUUGUUUGGGAAAUACAUUCAGAAUCUUUAUUAAAUCAUCCUGCAUUAUU